ACUAUGAUACAAUCAGUGGCGAUGAUUCGUAACCACCACUCUUCCCCGAGGCCACAUGACGAAUCCAAUUAACAGUACUAACGAAUGCUGUCGGACGUACACUAUUUAUGUUUCCUCACAGUCGCACUGUAAAUAUUUAGUCCGGGAGGCGUCUGGCAUCGGCCUUGUCUUAUCUCCUCAUCACACAUGAACAUUUUCAUGGACAACCCUCGCCGCUGUCGACAUGUAAAUAACAAGAAAGUGGCACCCGAACGGGCUGUAAACUUCCGUUCGCAGAUCAUCUGAUAGUUUAUUUAUUUAAAGUGGAUAGUCACGUGCUACCAGUAAUAUAGCAAGUAGCAAAGCGAUAAAUCAAACAUCGACUCGGCAGUGCGGCAGCGCGGCAGCGGCGGCGGCAGCGGCAGUGUCGGCGGCAGCUCAUGCUCAGGCGCUGUGCAAGUCGCGUGCGCGCGUGGGCUUCGACAGGGAUCAAAGAGGCGCGACACGGACCGCAGCCGGGCGCCAAGAUCGCAACGAUAUCGUCGCUAGAACAGUAAUCGUCAAUAAAAUCUCAAUUUAGAUGGCACCGAUACUGCGUGAGUUACGGACGGACAGUCCGACAGAACACGAAAACCUACUUGAGGAUGGAAUGCGCCCUGUGACAGGACCAGCUAACGAAUUAGCACCAUAUUUUGAAAGGGUGGGAUUGUUUAAUGGUAUACAGUUUGGGAAGUUUAGUCCCCACAAGGCAUAAAGCUGCGACUUGCGCUGGUGCACGAUGGGACGCGUCCGCCACUUCGAAUUAAUGACGGUUUGACGCCUCGUCGACAGCGGCACGCCUACGCCUAUUUAUAACAUUGCUUUUUGUCUUUUUGCCCCCACCCCGCUGGCCAGUCACAGAUAAGAAGGACUCCGAAGUGGGCAUUUAAAAAUAAAUUUGUCGAAAGUGAUAAAUGAUGAAUAUAACUUUUAUUAUUUCAAAUUAAAUUAACGAUCUGGACGGAACGUCUACCUUUUCUCACAUUAGAGGGAUCUUAUCUGGAAUGAUUGCUUCCAUUACCUUAGAGAAUGGACACGUUGUUUUGUAGGAGGGUAGAUAAAGAGAUUAAUGCGUAAAGCAAUUAAUUUUGAUUGAGGUGUGUUUUAUUAAGUAAAAUAAUUGUUUUUGUUCCCAAUGUAAAUUAGGGACGCACCGUGAAGCAUCACUGUGGAUAUGUCUAUUGUCUUUCAGCAAUAGUUUCUUUUAUUUAUAUAUAAUAAGGAACAAAAUAUCGCAAAAGAUAAGAAUAACAUAUGCUAACAAUAUUUACUGAAAGAAUUCAAGCAAGCAAAUCUUUUUUAUUAUUCCAUUAAAAAAUAAAAAUACUAUAAUAAUAAAAGAGGUAUACUUUUA